ensembl:lncRNA
UAAAGGCGUGCGCCACCACGCCCGGCUUUUUCUUUCUUUUUUUUUAUAAUUACAUCAAUUUCAAUUCUCUUCUUUCGACAUGUGGAUCAUGGGGGAUCGAACUCAGGUCGUCACGUGUGUCACCAGGCACCUUUACCCACUGAGCCUUGUCACCAGCCCUCAAGUAUUCUAGAAUCCGAUGGUAGUUUUUGUUUUUGUUGAUGUUGUUAAUAUACAGGGUCUCACUCUAGUGCAAGUCGGAUUAGAAUAUGCCUUAGCCUUAAGCUUUCUAGGAUCAUGGCACUGAACUGCUGUAGAACACGUCAAUGAACCAUUUAUUGAACUGAAAUUAGGCCUUUAAAAAAAGGCCUUGAAGUCUUUUUUUCCUCUGAUGGCUACCACGAUGCUACAGGUUUCCAGUAGGGGGCGCUGGAGGAGCGUGGCAGGCGGCUGGGCUUCUCUGCGGCAUGAGCCUGCAGGCUCUGACGCAUCUAUGGCAUCACCAGGAUUCUCCAGCGCCUGGCUCCUGCCACGUGUGGCUGGCACCACCAUCUCGCUCCAGACACUUUUCUGUAUGCGUUUUUGUGUGGCCUCCGACUGGAUAUGCACUUCCGGUUUCUGGGACAUGUUUGGAAAUUCUCAUGGAGCAGAUGCUGUUUUCCACCAAGGGAAACUGAGGUUUGGAAGGGCAGAAGAUAUGCUCAACUCCCUCCAGCAAGUCACCUGUGAAGCAAGGGCAGAGCACAGACUCAUGGGAAACUCCUAGAUUGAAUGGGUGAUAUUCUGGGGGCGUGGGUGGGUGUGAGACAGGAUUUCUCUGCAUAGCCCUGGCUGUCCUGGAACUCAGUGUGUAGAUCAGGCUGGUUUCGAACUCUCAGAGACCUGCCUGCCUCUUCUUUCCCAGGGCUGGAAUUAAAGGUGUGUAUCUCCAAGCCAGGUUCUAUUUUCAUUUUGAGACAAGAGCUUACUGUGUACUGAGACUGACCUUGAACUCAUGACCCUCCUGCCCUAACCUCCAGAGUGCUAGGAUCACAGGCGUUCUUUCACCACCAUACCUGGUCUCAGAUCUGAUGAGUUUUGAUGGGGGAUUUAAAAAAAAAAAAAAAAACAAAGCAACAUGUGUUUGGCAGGCUUUGUAAGGGGCCAACACAGAAACAGAAUUGAGGGCAAAAGCUGACCAGCUAAAAUCCAGUUGCAUCUGGUUUCCUUCUGCAGGAAAUAGAGAGGACUGUCUUUAUCGCCGACUCAGGUGGCCCUCUUUCAGGGAUUUGUGAUUAACUGGCUUCCCCGAUUGCCUAUGUCUGGCACCAGUGCCUGCAUCUGGUUUGAGCAGAGGUCUCCCACUAUGCCAGUCAAUAGCUAGAUGAGGAAUCUGGUGAACACUCCUCCAGAGUCUGGACCCAUGGACCCAUUCCAUACUGAUUCAUUUCUAUCACCACACACUCAGCCCAUCCCCCACAACCCCUCCCCUGCUUUCCUGCCACAAGGUUUCUCUGUGUAGCCCUGGCUGUCCUGGAAUUCACUCUGUAGACAAGGCUGCCUCUGCUGACAUUAAAGGCAUACACUACCAUGCCGGGCUAAUUUCAGCACUUAGGAGGCGAAGGCAGGAGGAUUUCAGUAUAUCUGAGGCCACCGUAAGGAUACAUAGUAAGGUGUAUGGGAUAACUUUUUUUUUUUUUCUUUGAAACUGUAUCUCAAAAAAAAAAAAAAAAAAGCAAAGCCCAUAACAAAUAAAGAUUUUCUAAUUAGCUACCCA